UACGGAGGGUGCAAGCGUUGUUCGGAAUUACUGGGCGUAAAGAGUGCGUAGGCGGUUCGGUAAGUUGGAAGUGAAAUCCCGGGGCUCAACCUCGGAAUUGCUUUCAAAACUGCUGAUCUAGAGUAUGGUAGGGGAUAGUGGAAUUCCUAGUGUAGGGGUGAAAUCCGUAGAUAUUAGGAGGAACACCAGAGGCGAAGGCGACUAUCUGGGCCAUUACUGACGCUAAGGUACGAAAGCGUGGGGAGCAAACAGG
rnacentral:rRNA from 1 species